CCUACGGGAGGCAGCAGUAGGGAAUCUUCCACAAUGGGCGAAAGCCUGAUGGAGCAACGCCGCGUGGGUGAAGAAGGUCUUCGGAUCGUAAAACCCUGUUGUUAGAGAAGAAAGUGCGUGAGAGUAACUGUUCACGUUUCGACGGUACCUAACCAGAAAGCCACGGCUAACUACGUGCCAGCAGCCGCGGUAAUACGUAGGUGGCAAGCGUUAUCCGGACUUAUUGGGCGUAAAGGGAACGCAGGCGGUCUUUUAAGUCUGAUGUGAAAGCCUUCGGCUUAACCGGAGUAGUGCAUUGGAAACUGGGAGACGUGAGUGCAGAAGAGGGGAGUGGAACUCCAUGUGUAGCGGUGAAAUGCGUAGAUAUAUGGAAGAACACCAGUGGCGAAGGCGGCUCUCUGGUCUGUAACUGACGCUGAGGUUCGAAAGCGUGGGUAGCAAACAGGAUUAGAUACCCUUGUAGUC
rnacentral:rRNA from 1 species